rnacentral:misc_RNA from 1 species
GAUGAAGAACGCAGCGAAAUGCGAUACGUAAUGUGAAUUGCAGAAUUCAGUGAAUCAUCGAAUCUUUGAACGCAUAUUGCGCUCUUUGGUAUUCCGAAGAGCAUGCUUGUUUAAGUAUCAGUAAACACCUCAAAGCUUUUGGAUUUUUUAAUCGAAAAGCUUUGGACUUGAGCAAUCCCAACACCAAUCUUUUUGAGAUCGGUGGCGGGUUGCUUGAAAUGCAGGUGCAGCUGGACAUUCUCCUGAGCUAAAAGCAUAUUCAUUUAGUCCCGUCAAACGGAUUAUUACUUUUGCUGCAGCUAACAUAAAGGGAGUUUGACCGUAUUGGCUGACUGAUGCAGGAUUUCACAAGGGUCGGCAACGAUUCUUGUUAAACUCGAUCUCAAAUCAAGUAAGACUACCCGCUGAACUUAAGCAUAUCAAUAAGCGGAGGA